rnacentral:rRNA from 1 species
GACGAACGCUGGCGGCGUGCUUAACACAUGCAAGUCGAACGGAAAGGCCCUGCUUUUGUGGGGUGCUCGAGUGGCGAACGGGUGAGUAACACGUGAGUAACCUGCCCUUGACUUUGGGAUAACUUCAGGAAACUGGGGCUAAUACCGGAUAGGAGCUCCUGCUGCAUGGUGGGGGUUGGAAAGUUUCGGCGGUUGGGGAUGGACUCGCGGCUUAUCAGCUUGUUGGUGGGGUAGUGGCUUACCAAGGCUUUGACGGGUAGCCGGCCUGGGAGGGUGGCCGGCCACGUUGGGACUGAGAUACGGCCCAGACUCCUACGGGAGGCAGCAGUGGGGAAUAUUGCACAAUGGGCGGAAGCCUGAUGCAGCAACGCCGCGUGCGGGAUGACGGCCUUCGGGUUGUAAACCGCUUUCGCCUGUGACGAAGCGUGAGUGACGGUAAUGGGUAAAGAAGCACCGGCUAACUACGUG